rnacentral:rRNA from 1 species
AGCGAACGUUUGCGGCGGGCCUAACACAUGCAAGUCGAACGCACUAGCAAUAGUGAGUGGCGCACGGGUGCGUAACACGUGGGUAAUCAACCCUUCAGCCUGGGAUAACGACUCGAAAGGGUCGCUAAUACCGGAUACGGCGCGAGAGGCUUCGGCUUCUCACGAGAAAGCCACGCAAGGGGCACUGAAGGACGAGCCUGCGGCCCAUCAGCUAGUUGGUGAGGUAAGAGCUCACCAAGGCUAAGACGGGUAGCUGGUCUGAGAGGAUGAUCAGCCACACUGGGACUGAGACACGGCCCAGACUCCUACGGGAGGCAGCAGUGGGGAAUAUUGGACAAUGGGCGAAAGCCUGAUCCAGCAAUGCCGCGUGAGUGAUGAAGGCCUUAGGGUUGUAAAGCUCUUUUACCAGGGAUGAUAAUGACAGUACCUGGAGAAUAAGCUCUGGCUAACUCCGUGCCAGCAGCCGCGGUAAAGUACAGUG